rnacentral:lncRNA from 1 species
AAACUCGGAUGAUAGUAGUGGGUGCUUUAAACUUUCUGGGUCUAGUUCUAGCCUCUUUAUCUCUUUGUCCAUUGUAUUUGCUUUUGUGGCUCUGUUGAACUAGCAUUUAAAUUAUGUCAUUUGAUUAGAGUCUUUUUUUUACAUAAGUUUAAUAAUUAAUGUGUAAUCAAUUACACAUUUGGGAAGAAAAAAAAUUGUCUUGUGGUUUAAUGAUAAAUAAAAUUUUUAGUUUUUGUUAUGUUGUUUGCCUUCGGUUUAUCAAGUUGUUGAAAUAGUUUUACAAUCAAACACAAUACAAUUGAUGUUGUCAUGUCCAACCCAUUAAAAACACUUAUUGUAAUUUUUUAUUGAAAAACAAUAAUUAUUUAUUAAAAGGUAUUAUAUUUAAUAGAAAAUGUUCAAAUUUCAAUACAAAUUUACUAUUUUGAAUUUCUUGACAUGUGUAAAUUUAAACAUGAUAGAAAAAACUCAUCUAUUAUACCUUUUGAUGAUUAAGAAUCCAUUUCACAUGCUAUCCCAUAAACACUGCUUCUUACCCAAUCAUUAACAUCAUUUAGUAAUGAUUUCACAAAUAUGGAAAGGAAGAUAUCCAGCUCUUCUUGAAAAUUGUUUUAAGGUCCUUAAACUGUUCAGUGCUGCUGAAUUGUAUUAAUGUCAAGUCCCUUCAUGCUUCACCACUAAUUCUACAUGUCCCUU